rnacentral:rRNA from 1 species
UGCAUUUUAGAUUACUGGGGGUAGAGCACUGAAUGGGCUAGGGGCCUUCGCGGGUUACCGAACCUUAUCAAACUUCGAAUACCAGAUAAUUGAUGGCAGGGAGUCAGACAGUGUGAGAUAAGUUUCAUUGUCAAAACGGAAACAGCCGAGAUCUACAACUAAGGUCCCAAAGUAUAGGUUAAGUGGAAAAGGAUGUGUCAUUGCUAAAACAACCAGGAUGUUGGCUUAGAAGCAGCCAUUCAUUUAAAGAGUGCGUAAUAGCUCACUGGUCGAGUGGUAGUGCGCCGAAGAUAAACGGGGCUAAAACCUAACACCGAAGUUUAGGGAUUAGGAGCAAUCCUAAUCGGUAGGGGAGCAAUGUUUACGGGCUGAAGCCAUACCGGAAGGGGUGGUGGACUGUAAACAAGAGAGAAUGCCGGCAUGAGUAGCGAGAGUGUGGCGAGAAUCCACACCGUCGAAAGUCUUAGGUUUCCUGGGGAAGGUUCGUCCGCCCAGGGUAAGUCGGGAUCUAAGCUGAGGCCGAAAGGCGUAGGCGAUGACCAACUGGUAGAUAUUCCAGUACCACCGAUUAACGAUAAAGAGCUGAUGCAGUGACACAGGAGGAUAGCGAAUCCGCGGUUAUGGAUACCUGCGGCCAAAUCAUGAGGGGUCUAAAUAGUAAAGUACGUUUAGAGCGCACCCUGGGUGAUGAUGGGGAGUGAAAAUUAGUAAUGAAGUUCGUGAAUUCACACUGGCGAGAAAAGCUGCUAGGUAGUUAAUAGGUGCCCGUACCGCAAACCGACACAGGUAGACGAUGAGAGAAUCAUAAGACGAACGGGAUAACCCUUGUUAAGGAACUCGGCAAAAUGACCCCGUAACUUCGGGAGAAGGGGUGCCUGCGCAAGCAGGCCGCAGUGAAUCGGCCCAAGCGACUGUUUAUCAAAAACACAGGUAUCUGCUAAAGCGUAAGCUGAAGUAUAGGUGCUGACGCCUGCCCGGUGCUGGAAGGUUAAGAGGAGAAGUUAGCCGCAAGGCAAAGCUUUGAAUUUAAGCCCCAGUGAACGGCGGCCGUAACUAUAACGGUCCUAAGGUAGCGAAAUUCCUUGUCAGGUAAGUUCUGACCCGCAUGAAUGGCGUAACGACUUGGGCACUGUCUCAACAGGGGACCCGGCGAAAUUGUAGUAUACGUGAAGAUGCGUAUUACCCGCGACUAGACGGAAAGACCCCGUAGAGCUUUACUGUAAUUUGGCAUUGAAUUUCGGAGUUUGAUGUACAGGAUAGGUGGGAGACUUUGAAGCAGAGGCGUCAGCCUUUGUGGAGUCAACCUUGGGAUACCACCCUUUGGACUUUGAGGUUCUAACGUUGUGCAGUGAUCCUGGCAGCGGACAGUGUCUGAUGGACAGUUUGACUGGGGCGGUCGCCUCCUAAAGAGUAACGGAGGCGCUCAAAGGUUCCCUCAGGAUAGUUGGAAACUAUCUUUUAGAGUGUAAAGGCAAAAGGGAGCUUAACUGCGACACUUACAAGUGGAGCAGAUACGAAAGUAGGACUUAGUGAUCCGGCGGUUGAGUAUGGAAUUGCCGUCGCUUA